GGAGAGAUGGCCGAGUGGUUGAAGGCGCACGCUUGGAAAGCGUGUUACAUCAAGGUGUAUCAUGGGUUCGAAUCCCAUUCUCUCCG
rnacentral:tRNA from 1 species